rnacentral:rRNA from 2 species
UACGUAGGUCCCGAGCGUUGUCCGGAUUUAUUGGGCGUAAAGCGAGCGCAGGUGGUUUAUUAAGUCUGGUGUAAAAGGCAGUGGCUCAACCAUUGUAUGCAUUGGAAACUGGUAGACUUGAGUGUAGGAGAGGAGAGUGGAAUUCCAUGUGUAGCGGUGAAAUGCGUAGAUAUAUGGAGGAACACCGGUGGCGAAAGCGGCUCUCUGGCCUGUAACUGACACUGAGGCUCGAAAGCGUGGGGAGCAAACAGG